CAGUAGCCACGGUAAUACAGAGGGUGCGAGCGUUAAUCGGAUUUACUGGGCGUAAAGCGUGCGUAGGCGGCUUCUUAAGUCGGAUGUGAAAUCCCUGAGCUUAACUUAGGAAUUGCAUUCGAUACUGGGAAGCUAGAGUAUGGGAGAGGAUGGUAGAAUUCCAGGUGUAGCGGUGAAAUGCGUAGAGAUCUGGAGGAAUACCGAUGGCGAAGGCAGCCAUCUGGCCUAAUACUGACGCUGAGGUACGAAAGCAUGGGGAGCAAACAGGAUUAGAGACCCCGGUAGUCCCUGUCUCUUAUAC
rnacentral:rRNA from 1 species